GUGGGGAAUCUUGCGCAAUGGGCGAAAGCCUGACGCAGCCAUGCCGCGUGAAUGAUGAAGGUCUUAGGAUUGUAAAAUUCUUUCACCGGGGACGAUAAUGACGGUACCCGGAGAAGAAGCUCCGACUAACUUCGUGCCAGCAGCCGCGGUAAUACGAAGGGGGCUAGCGUUGCUCGGAAUUACUGGGCGUAAAGGGCGCGUAGGCGGACAGCUUAGUCAGAGGUGAAAGCCCAGGGCUCAACCUUGGAAUUGCCUUUGAUACUGGCUGUCUUGAGUUUGGGAGAGGUGAGUGGAACUCCGAGUGUAGAGGUGAAAUUCGUAGAUAUUCGGAAGAACACCAGUGGCGAAGGCGACUCACUGGCCCAAUACUGACGCUGAGGCGCGAAAGCGUGGGGAGCAAACAGGAUUAGAAACCCUGGUAGUCC
rnacentral:rRNA from 1 species